UGCUUCUACCAAUAAGCCAUCAAAACAAGAUGGCGACAGACCUGAGAACCUGGUACACGUCGUGCAAGAUCAUAGCAACCAUGUAGAAAAUUAAAGCGUGUACUUAUGAUACUCUAUUUGCUUAAGGUGAUGUAAACUAGAAUUCGUCCGUGUUGAAUAUUCUUUGGUCGUUACAUAUGUAUCGCACCGUAGUAGCCACGGCUAGUCAUCACUGCGCUGGUUAUACACACCACACUUUCUCUAUUAGUAAGUAUACGAAUCUAACCUAUUAUUCGUCUCUAUAAGUUGGAGUAACGCAGCUACUAUCACAUUAACUGACUAUUCGAAGUAAAUAAAAAAUUAUUAUAUCCUAAUACUGUAAGUAAAACUUCGCAUUAGCUAUCCUUAUUUUCAGUCUUACAAUCAACCUCAACUGUUGCUGCGAGGCAUCUAUUGGGUCUAAAUUUACUUUUUAUGUUAUUAGGAUUAAACUAUGUUUAAUGAGUAAUUAUCUUAGCAUUAGCUUAUCUACAUAUAAUUUAUCGAACUUUCUUACUAUAUAUCUAUAUGGACCAACCUAUAUUAGGAAAUUCUACCAACAACCCAUUGCGUCUACACAUACUAAGUUCGUAUAGAAUACCAUCGUUACCAUCGUAACUUCCUAAAAAUUGAAAAUAUCUAUUGUCAUGUCAACAAACGACAACAAACAAACGUUUUCCAAACAUUUUCAAAAGGAAGACCCCGACGUUUUUUCAUCUCCGACAGAUAUAAAUAAAUGUAGCGAAUCAGAGAAGUCAGUAACAAUAAUUACCGUACGUCUAUCGAAUAAUAAUAUUACCAUUCAUCUAUCGAGUAAUAAUGAUAUUACCGUUUGUCAACAGAAUAAUUACCAUUCGAAAAGUUAGUUAUCAUUUUGUCUAUCGAAGAGUUAGUUAUCAUUUUGUCUAUCGAUGAAUUAGUUAUCAUUCUGUCAUGCUAAGAAUCAUCAUUUUUUCAACCGAAGAAUUACCAUUUUGUCAACCGAAGAAUUUUAUAUCAGUCAGUCUGUCAAUCAAUUGUCAAUAUCGAAAUCGAGUAAAAUUUGAAUAAAUCAUUACAUAUUGUUAAUUUACUUUCGAACAACUUUAAUCUUCUCCCGUGCCAGUAUUCCCGCACAUAACAGGUUUGCCGAAAGUGGAGCUUAUUGCCAGUUACAUUAAACGUCAGUUAACGCUACCGAACUAAAUAGAACGUGACACUAUCACCCAUAGAAUGACUGAAGAAGGACCAAAAUAAUGGACGAACCACGCGGGUUCAACCAUAUAUAGUUUAUGCCCAUAUAGAUACGAUUUAACCCUGGUUAUCAUUAAAUCAUUAAAUAUGGAUAUUCCCAAAACAAAUUGAAACCCGUACACAAUAUAAAAGAUUGGAGUAACCCAACCGCUGGCACGUAAAAUAAAAAAGAGAAAUCGAAGAUGAAAACAAAAAUAAAAAAAUAAAAAGAGAAUUUAUUUCUUAACACUUCGCGUUUACACUAAUUACAAUUUACUUCUGAACUCCAGCCGUGUCUUUCCAAGACUGAAGCUCUUACAAUUUUACUUUCAAUCGGAUCCGUUUCUUUUUUCUUUGUCACCCCUCAAUGUCCCCACUAUCCACGCAUUUGUUAGGCGUCCGCGACCGUCGGACAUUCGGAGGAAGGACCGUUGGGAUAUUGAUGGCUCAUUAGGCACUUUGGCGAUAUACAUUGUCGCCACAUCUUUAUCUCCGCCAUCGGUCCAUCGGAUUUGAAAUGCGCCGGUCGUGACACUGCCAUCGCCUUAAAUGACUAUUCAAAGUAGUUAUACAAUUAUUCCAUCCAAAUAUGUAAGUAAGCUUCAUGUUAGCUAACCUUAUUUCCAUCCAAUCUUACAAUCAGCUCCUGCAGUUGCUGAGAGGCCUCUUCAAGGGCAAAUUUAAAUCCUUAUAUUAUCAGCAAUACUAUGCUUAAAGAGCCAUUAUCUUGCCAGCAUAUCCGUUUACCGAACAUACAUACAAUUUAUCUAUAUCUGCCUCCAACUAAAAUCAUAUUACGCAAUUCUACCAGACAAGCCCAUUGCAUCUACACUUACUAAGUUGAUUUGAAAUUGAUACCUCACAACUUCCUACUAUUGAAAAUAACCAUUCCUACUGUAAAAUGUAUGCAAGUACUAACAGUAGAUCCUAUUACAUUGAACUAAUUUCGGCAAUGUUUAAUCAAGUUCUCUAUUAAUGUUAAUGUUAAGAAUGCUUAUCAACUUCUAAAUCAUACCAUAUAAGAUCUAUCAUACUAUCCCAUACCUUAUUCAUCAACUUCUGUAUUUUUUAAAUAAAAGCCGUCAAUCGAGACAUAAAUCAUUACUCAUCUACUAAACCUACAAUAAUACCCAUCGACUUAUAUAAUUAUAGGAAGGAAGGACCAAAUUAAUAUACGAACCCCCCGGGUUCAUCUAUAUUUAAUUUAAUUGUCCAUAUGGAUAUGAUUAAACCAUUAUUGUCAUACGUAAGGAUAUUCCAAUAAUAGAUUGACGCACGUACACGAUAUUAAAGUGUGUAUAAUACAUUUAUCAUUUAUUAUGUCCACUUUACCAAAUCCAGAUAAUGUUAAUUAUAUCAACUCCCAUAUUAUGCUAUGUACCUCCUCCAUUAUUAAGUGUACCAAUAUAUCUAUUAUUUGUUCUCUAGAUCGGAGUACCGCAGCUGUUAAAUGACUCUUCCCAGUGUCGACCCCAUUAUUACUUCCAAUAUGAAUGAUGUUUCGUCGACCAUUCGCGGAGAGACGCGAUCGCGAGAAGGCAC